rnacentral:rRNA from 1 species
GAGGCUUCGACAAUGCCCGAAAGGGUGAUCGAGCGACGCCGCGUGCGGGAUGAAGGUCUUCGGAUUGUAAACCGCUUUUGUUUGGGAAGAAGGCCUGUAUCGUGAAUACGGGAUUGACGGUACCAAACGAAUAAGCCCCGGCUAACUCCGUGCCAGCAGCCGCGGUAAGACGUAGGGGGCUAGCGUUGUCCGGAAUCACUGGGCGUAAAGAGCUCGUAGGCGGUCUGUUAAGUCGGGUGUGAAAGCCCUCGGCUCAACCGAGGAAUUGCACUCGAUACUGGCAGGCUAGAGUCAAGCAGAGGGAAGUGGAAUUCCCGGUGUAGCGGUGAAAUGCGCAGAUAUCGGGAAGAACACCGGUGGCGAAGGCGGCUUCCUGGGCUUGUACUGACGCUGAGGAGCGAAAGCUAGGGGAGCGAACAG